rnacentral:lncRNA from 1 species
UGCCAUCCAACUCAAUCAAUUUGUCUGUCAAAAUGAGGGGGUAAAAAUAUUAUUUCGGGUUCUUCAUCUAGCAUUGACCCCAACUCCACCUUUUUCUUCCAUCAUUGACCCAACAAACCCACCUCCAGAAUCUGACUAUUUUGGAAAGCCACCUUGUUCUUCCAUCAUCAAUUCAACAACCCCACCUCAAGAAUCUGACUAUUUUGGAAAGCCAUUUGUUAGAGGAGACUUUGUGCAUAAAAUUCCAACGUUUUGGAAUUUCAGAAAGACAAAAAAAAAAAAAAAAAAAGCAGCGAGAGAGAAACUUACCCUACCUAACAAUUCUCUUCUUCAUGGAAACUUCUCAAUUCCACAAUCUCUUGGCCUCUUCCCAUGGUUUUCACCUUUUCUUUUGCUUUCGUUUGUGUUCAUCAGUCUCCCUCUUUGUCUCUCCCUCUCUCUCCCGCAACUUAUU